rnacentral:rRNA from 1 species
AGAGUUUGAUCCUGGCUCAGAGCGUACGCUGGCGGCACGCCUAACACAUGCAAGUCGAACGAAGUAGCAAUACUUAGUGGCAGACGGGUGAGUAACAUGUAGGUAUCUGCCCUUUGGCCUGGAAUAACACGAGGAAACUUGUGCUAAUACCGGAUAAGUCUUUACGGAGAAAGCUUUAUGCACCAUUGGAUGAGCCUGCACUUGAUUAGUUUGUUGGUGGGGUAAUGGCCUACCAAGACUGUGAUCAAUAGCUGAUUUGAGAGGAUGAUCAGCCACAUUGGGACUGAGACACGGCCCAAACUCCUACGGGAGGCAGCAGUGGGGAAUCUUGCACAAUGGAGGAAACUCUGAUGCAGCGAUGCCGCGUGAGUGAAGAAGGCCCUUGGGUUGUAGAGCUCUUUCGUCGGGGAAGAAAAUGACUGUACCCGAAUAAGAAGGUCCGGCUAACUUCGUGCCAGCAGCCGCGGUAAUACGAAGGGACCUAGCGUAGUUCGGAAUUACCGGGCUUAAAGAGUUCGUAGGUGGUUGAAAAAGUUGGUGGUGAAAUCCCAGAGCUUAACUCUGGAACUGCCAUCAAAACUUUUCAGCUAGAGUAUGAUAGAGGAAAGCAGAAUUUCUAGUGUAGAGGUGAAAUUCGUAGAUAUUAGAAAGAAUACCAAUUGCGAAGGCAGCUUUCUGGAUCAUUACUGACACUGAGGAACGAAAGCAUGGGUAGCGAAGAGGAUUAGAUACCCUCGUAGUCCAUGCCGUAAACGAUGUGUGUUAGACGUUGGAAAUUUAUUUUCAGUGUCGCAGCGAAAGCGAUAAACACGCCGCCUGGGGAGUACGACCGCAAGGUUAAAACUCAAAUGAAUUGACGGGGACCCGCACAAGUAGUGGAGCAUGUGGUUUAAUUCGAAGAUACGCGCAGAACCUUACCAACACUUGACAUGUUCGUCGCGACUUUGAGAGAUCAAAGUUUUCGGUUCGGCCGGACGAAACACAGGUGCUGCAUGGCUGUCGUCAGCUCGUGUCGUGAGAUGUUGGGUUAAGUCCCGCAACGAGCGCAACCCUCACUUUUAGUUGCCAUCAUUAAGUUGGGCACUCUGAAAGAACUGCCAGUGAUAAGCUGGAGGAAGGUGGGGAUGACGUCAAGUCCUCAUGGCCCUUACGUGUUGGGCUACACACGUGCUACAAUGGUAUCUACAACAGGAAGCAAGACUGCGAAGUUAAGCAAAUCCUCAAAAGAUACCUCAGUUCGGAUUGCACUCUGCAACUCGAGUGCAUGAAGCUGGAAUUACUAGUAAUCGUGGAUCAGCGUGCCACGGUGAAUGCGUUCCCGGGUCUUGUACACACCGCCCGUCACACCAUGGGAGUUGGUUCUACCUUAAGGCAAGGUUUUAAACCCUUGACCACGGUAUAGUCAGCGACUGGGGUGAAGUCGUAACAAGGUAACC